ensembl:antisense Foxo6os forkhead box O6, opposite strand
AGGCUGAAGGGACCCAGUAGCAUGGAGGGCCCCUUUAAAAGAUCUAAGGCCACUUCGAUUGCUUCCACAAACUAUUCCCGGGGCACAGGGUUCCCUGCAUCAGGAAAGCAGAUCAGGUAACUACGGAGAGUUCCUGAGAACACAAGGACCUGGCCCAAAGAACCUGAUGUUCUCUUUUGGCCAGAGAACUGUCCACCCACCAACAGGGGUAGAGAAUCAAUGCCAGAGUGAAUCCUUCUUACCGGAACACUCGAUCCCUUUCCAUCCUGCCUUCUUAUGCCCUCGGUUUCACUCAGCACUCACUGAGUGCCAGCCUCUGCGGAACUCCUGACUGAGAAUCUAACUCCUUGUGGACAAGAACUUGGCCCGAUCUGUUCACGGCUCUGUCCUCAGAGCCUCGAGGAGAGGCUGACAAUGAGAAGAAGUGCAGGGCAAAUGAAAGCAUGGGCUCACACUAUUCUUAACAAGCACCCGAGAGGCAGGGUAUUUGGUGUUUGGGAUGCACUAAUAGCCUGGCAAGGGCUCAGGGCAGCUGAGUCAGGCUGAGUGUGUUCUUAAAGAGUCAUCUGAGGAUUCAGCCGCAAUGAUCAUACACUCAGAGCAUAGAGCAAGGUACAGACCCUGUUGGUGGCCACCAUGCCAGAGGAGGUGGAUUUGUUUCCUGUGGAAACAGACUCUGUCAAGGCUUGUGUUCUGUUCAGUCACACAGGUGGCCCUGCUUAGGAUGAGAAGGAAGCCUGUGAGCAUCUGGGUUUGAGGACGUGGGGAGGACAGGGAUGAGGGCAGGGAGCCUCGGGCAGUGCUGUGUCUGUGUCCCAAUAGAUGCAGGGAGGGACAGAGACCUGGCGUCACAGCUAGCCUGCUGGUGGGCCAGCCCUGGGGGAGACAGACAAAAUGCCUAGGCAGACAGAAACAUCCCCAUCUAGUAGCACACCUGCAAAGUCACCUCGGAACGUUCUACUGCCUGUGCUUGGCUCGCUCCUCACCAAAGAAGCCGUGGAAAGGAAGGUGCAGCAUUGGGGUUUACAUGUUGGUGUCCAUGAUGGCCAAAAAGCUGCGUGACUCUACAUCCCUGGAGUGAAUGUCAAGUCUGAAACAAGCCAAGAAAACAUACAGCAUGGCUUUCCUCAGAGGCUUGCAAGAACACACACAACAGCAAUGGGUCCCCAGCACAGAGGACAUUCCUGUCCCCUCACUUGCCAGAUGAGGAAAUGGACCCAGGAGGCAAGGAUUUGCCACAUAUGUAGUGUUCCCAUUUAUAUAAGAAGUGUCCUUCCCAAAAGGCUCGUGUAUUAAGGACUUGGUCCCUAGCUGGUGGUGCUGUUUUGGGUGGUGGUGCAAAUUGCAAGUACCAUUCGCUGGGACCCAGCAGAUGGAAGUAAGUAGAUCCAAACCUUCUCACAGCCAGAGCCCUAACCCUCAGGCCUCUGACUGUUCUUCCCUCCUAGGUGGUGUUAUGUCAGCCACAACCCCCAGUCAGCACGCUCCACUUUCAGAGAUACUGUCUGGAGCUGGGCACCCAUCCCCAUGGCCACGACAGUGAGCAGCCAUGCGUGCUGAGAGCAAUGGCUGACUCACAGUGGGGUGUGUUGUAAGUAUGUAACACAUUAUUUUAAUUCAGGGGCAUACGUUUAUGUGUGUCUACACAUGUGUGCAUGCAUAUACGGUCAGUGCACCUACAUGUGCGUGUGCACACGAAGGUCAGAGACUGACACUGAGUGUCCUCUUCAGUCGCUCUCCACUUUACCUACUGAGGCAGGCUCUGUCACUUAAUUCAGCUAAUGCUGAAUGGCUGACUGGCUGGCUCCAGGGUGCCCUGUCCCUGUCUCCAGGAUGCUAGGCUUGCAGGUGGGCUGCCACACCCUCCAGACAUUUACAUGGGCUCUAGGGAUUCGAAUUCCAGUCCUCAGGCUUGCAUGGAGAGCAUUUAACCUUGAGUCAUCUUGCCACCCCCAAGAUUUGGAGUUGCUACAUGAGUAACAUUUUUUAAAUUUUUAUUUGUUUUAACAGAUACAAUUUAUUUAUUCUUUUAGAAUCUCGUUAAGGAUUUUUGAUACUGAUCAAAUGCUUUCAUGAGAUUCUUUUAAAUAGGUUGAAUAAAAUAUUUUUGAGUG